UGAUGGUGUGCAUAGCACGUGUGGCAUUGCAUCACCACCUAGCCAACAAGCUGUUUCCCCAGAGACGCAGGGCUCUGGCCCUUUAAAUGCCUUGAGCCGCAGGGGUGGAGCUGGCAGAGCCGGACUCUGAAGGACAGCCAGGCCUCCUUUAGCCCCAGCUGCCUCCACUAGAGCCCCAGGAAAACAGCUGGAACCAUCCGUCUCCUUGGCAGAUCUUGCCUAGCUGUCCUUGCCGUCAUCUCCUCCCCCCAGCUCUCUGCAGGUCAAUUGGCAGAAAAUGCUUCCCAGUCUGACUCUCCGUGAAGGAGAAAACUCCUGACCCUCUAAGCCUCCCCGGGGUGCCUGGAGAAUGCAGCGAAGCUUCUCAGGGAGCAAUGUGCUGCAAGAAGGCAGAACUCACAGCCCUGCUUUACAGACCAGGAAGCUGAGACUUAGAGACGUGGAAGUGAAUUGUUGGAAGCCACACCACUAGGAAGUGGCUCCUGUGGGACAAGAGUUGGGGAGAGGCAACAGGAAGCAGCCUGGAAAACGUUAUGGAGCUGUCUCAGAGAGCCCCUCUCCUUGACCUUGGAUGACUCUGGAUGUCCCCUAUCAGCCGUUGCCAAGAAGACUUGGAGACUGCUUUGGGUAUUCAGCCUUCUGAGUCCCUCGGCCCUCUACUUUAUCCCUCUCUGGCUCCUUCUAGACACAAAAGCCCCGAGGAAGGGAAAUCCAGACCCACCCUGGCUUGUGGAUCCUAUCUGGCCGACUCUCACUGUGGAUCCUAAGUACCCCUAAAACCUGUCCCCGGCCAUCCUCCUGGCAUCUUUGCUUGGCAUACUGGCCCCGUCCUGCCCUUGACCACGGCCCUCCCCCUCGCCCUCCCCCGACAAUGAGUUCUGACUGCCUCUCAGACCAUCCACUCUAAAGACAC